UACAGAGGGUGCGAGCGUUUGUCCGGAAUCACUGGGCGUAAAGGGCGCGUAGGUGGCGCCGCAAGUCCAUGGUGAAAGCUCGAUGCUCAACAUCGAGUCGGCCACGGAGACUGCGGGGCGUCCGAGCACUGUAGGGGCAGAUGGAAUUCCGGGUGUAGCGGUGGAAUGCGUAGAGAUCCGGAGGAACACCGGUGGCGAAGGCGGGUCUCUGGGGCAGUAACUGGACGCUGAGGAGCGAAAGCGUGGGGAGCGAACAGG
rnacentral:rRNA from 1 species